UACGUAGGGUGCAAGCGUUGUCCGGAAUUAUUGGGCGUAAAGAGCUCGUAGGCGGUCUGUCGCGUCUGCUGUGAAAACUCAGGGCUUAACCCUGAGCUUGCAGUGGGUACGGGCAGACUAGAGUGCGGUAGGGGAGACUGGAAUUCCUGGUGUAGCGGUGAAAUGCGCAGAUAUCAGGAGGGAACACCGGUGGGCGAAGGCGGGUCUCUGGGCCGUAACUGACGC
rnacentral:rRNA from 1 species